GGCUCAGGACGAACGCUGGCGGCGUGCUUAACACAUGCAAGUCGAGCGGUAAGGCCUUUCGGGGUACACGAGCGGCGAACGGGUGAGUAACACGUGGGUGAUCUGCCCUGCACUCUGGGAUAAGCCCGGGAAACUGGGUCUAAUACCGGAUAUGACUGUCCCAUGCAUGUGGGGUGGUGGAAAGAUUUAUCGGUGCAGGAUGGGCCCGCGGCCUAUCAGCUUGUUGGUGGGGUAAUGGCCUACCAAGGCGACGACGGGUAGCCGACCUGAGAGGGUGACCGGCCACACUGGGACUGAGACACGGCCCAGACUCCUACGGGAGGCAGCAGUGGGGAAUAUUGCACAAUGGGCGGAAGCCUGAUGCAGCGACGCCGCGUGAGGGAUGAAGGCCUUCGGGUUGUAAACCUCUUUCAGCAGGGACGAAGCGUGAGUGACGGUACCUGCAGAAGAAGCACCGGCUAACUACGUGCCAGCAGCCGCGGUAAUACGUAGGGUGCGAGCGUUGUCCGGAAUUACUGGGCGUAAAGAGUUCGUAGGCGGUUUGUCGCGUCGUUUGUGAAAACCCGGGGCUCAACUUCGGGCUUGCAGGCGAUACGGGCAGACUUGAGUGUUUCAGGGGAGACUGGAAUUCCUGGUGUAGCGGUGAAAUGCGCAGAUAUCAGGAGGAACACCGGUGGCGAAGGCGGGUCUCUGGGAAACAACUGACGCUGAGAACG
rnacentral:rRNA from 1 species